rnacentral:lncRNA from 1 species
UUCUUCCUGCCUUCUCUCAAAGGCACAACCCAAUUUUCUUUAAAGUUAUUCACCCCUAAAUUCUACAAAGCCCUGCCCCAUUUUAAGUAUGGUAGCCCCUGACUACUGAUACCCUGUCCAAGUGACGUAGGGCCCCGUAACGUAUGUCAAGGCUUUGCCUAAAUUCGUUGGGGUUCUGUCUCGUGACGUAGGGAUAAAGUAGAAUUGGGUUACUAUACUUGAUGUGGGUACACUAUAUAUUUUAUUAAAUAAUCCAGGAGUUGUACCCAAAAUAUAACAAACCUCCCGAAUAUUUUUCUGACACCCUACACUUCCUAAAAUACACCACAUAUGUGAAAACCGAGCCCGAAAUAUAAUAUAGCAUUAAAAAUAAGUGAAAAACAAGAAAUAGUAAGUUGAGGCGGGCCGCGUAGACCCACCCCAACCAUUCACGCGGGCCGUAUGAAGGUGUAACCGGAUUCCUUUGAUUUCUUAAGUCCAGGCGGGCCGCGUAAGGCCACACCGUUAGUUUACGCGGGCCGCGAGUGUCCCGAUUCGUGGCGCAGCCCGGUGAUGACACGUGUCAUCAUCGUGGCAGGUCUAGAGGAUGAGCCGGACAAGCUAGUCCGUUGACCAGGGUUGACGCGGGCCGCGUGACCCCUGUCCUUUCUUUACGCGGGCCGCGUGGGAACCAGAAUCAGCACCUAUAUAAGCAGGCAUCGGGUUUUAGUAUUCCUCGUUCAUUUCUUUUCUUUCUAAACGAAUUCUGAAGUAGUAGAAGUGAUACGCGGGUAUUAUACCCCCUAAUUAGCGAAGCUCUGCCUCGUUACUAUAACCAAGGAAUCACAAAGGAAAGCCUUAUAAUAGCAAUGAAACCUGGAUAUGGAGUAACUUAGUGUAAAGCCAAUAGAAGCCAGCUGGAGAGCACUGAAGGCUUGGAAAAGUGGCAAUAAAGUUACCUAAAAUAAAAUAGAUGUUUUUAUUAAAUAAAAUAGGAUUUAUUCCUAUGAAAAUGUAUGUACUGAAAAACUUGGGUUUUAUCCCAUGUGUUUAAUAUAAUGAAAAGAAGGUGGUUU